GGCUGGUUCAUAAAUAAAUAAUAACUCCACAGUGUGGAUGAAUGUCUGCAUAUGUGUGGGUGUGUUUCUGUCCGUCAGCUCAUCAUGAAGAGUAGCUGCUGUAACAAAUAGUCCAAAAGCCCCAGUAUGUAAUAACAAAGCUAGGCAAUGGAGAGUUCUGCUCUAUCCCCAGAGAGGCGGAUGGAGGAUGGGGGCGCACACAUUGAAGAGCUGGAGAUGACGCAGAGGGGAGGGGGGGGUGGAUGGAUGGAUGGAGCAGAAUCCUGAAUGAGGAGAGGAUGAAGAAAAAGAGGAGGUGGAUGAGGAGGUGGAGAGAUGGAGCGUGGGCAGACUGCGUGGGAAGGAGAUGCUGCAUAAUCAGCUUUCCAGGGUUUUCUCCUUCUCCAUUUUACUCUUCACUUUUUUUCCACUCUCUAAAAACUGUGAGUGUGUCUGCAAUGUCUGCAUGCACAUCAGCUUCCACCUGACAGUUUUCCCCUUGUUUGUGUUUCACAUCAUAUUCUUGAAUAUUAAUAAAAAAAUAUAUAUAAUGCAUUAUUCUACGUGACUCCACAAAAACAAAAAAACAGUGUGGUAGUAAAAGCCAUUCUAGCUAAAGGCUGCAUUCACACACUUAAGGUCUGCUCCAACAACAUUUCUUCACACUCAUCAGCUUUUGGCAUCACAUUUGUUUAGCCUGGUGGAAGAAGUGUGAAACGGAGAAACCACCCUAAUCGUGAGCGGAGAAGUACCCGAUGAGUCAUCAGCAUCCUUGCGCGUUCAAAACGCCGCCUGGAGCUGCUCUGUUGAAAGGAAAACCUGGUCAGGGAGGGGUGAAUGCGUGGGUGGAAGAGGAACAGAGGAGCAGGUGAUAGCAGUGGGGGUGGUGGUGGUGGUGGUGGUGAGGGGAGUGGUGUGAAGGGAGGGAAGGAGGGAGGGGGGUUUUCCCUUUCAGAGACAUCCUUGAAUACGUCUGAUGUCGAAUGCAGAGCAGGAGGGGAGGUGGAGGGGAUUGCAGAGGCAAAUACGUGUUCAUUCAUAUGUAGAAGUUCGCUUGCAGUGAGUGGGUGGGUGUGUGAAGCACGAACAGAACACUGUCGCCAUCCACAUUCGUGGUUCGAGACAGAACAACAGUUGUGAAUGGAGCAGUCUGAGUAAGUUUCUAUGUUUACUUAUUGGAGUGAUGUAACAGCCGAACUAUCUAGUGACACCUGAACCAAUAUUAUUCUGUUUUUUCUCAUUUUCUCGUCCGUCUGUCCGCAGAUCCAAUCUCUCCAAAAUGAAAAUCCAACUUUGCAGACAGAAAACAGUGGAAAAGAAUAAGAAGUCAAUGAAAAGGGUAUUUUCAAAGAGGCUAUACUCUGAACACCAGGUCACGACAUCAAUCCCACUGCAGCCAUUCUCGCUCUCAGGAGGAAUAGAGAGAGCUUUAGUCGUGACUUUGAAUCUACGCCUUCAAGCCUGCUUCUUUACCUCAUUGCAACCUCCUAUUUAGCAUUCACCUCCAGUGUGAAAUAUUUCCACAGGUAUACGCAACAAUAACGUGGGAUGAAUAGGCACAGAGUGGAAUGGAUCUGCCAGCUCUGCAACAUACCUAAUGAGAGUAAAAAGACUGACUUUACGCAACUUCUGGCCAACAUACAAAAAAAAAGGCAAAAAAAUGAAGUUAAUGGGAACCUUUAGCCUCCCUUCAAAAUCCUAUUUAGUCAAGUCAGUUACACUCUUUAUUCUGGCAAAUCAUGUUAAACUCAUAUGUCUUGAAAAUUUGACUUCAAGCAAAAAAAAAGUGUGUACAAACAGUAAAAUGAAUGAAAUCCUGAAGGGGGGAGGUUUGGGAAGAAAAAUUUAAGUUUUGUCUCAAGAAACUUCAGUGACUUCAUAUGAAAAUCCUGGUAAUCAAGUUGUCAACUCUAUCACAUCUAGGACCUGAUUUUCAUCAGUUAAUUUAGCCAUGCUGUGAGCUCCUCAUCAUACUUCUAUACCCACGGCCACUUUAGGACUCACUGUAGAGGGACCGUCAACAAGGGACAAUGCAGCUCCCCUAAUGUGAAGAGCCAUAAAGACAAACUUAUACCAGUUGAUGAGAUAUGGACCCUGGAAAGCCAUUUCCAAUUUAAUCAAAGUCAAUUUAAAACUCUUUCCAAGUGUAUCGAGGUCAGUUAUGGGUGGGCUAUGAUACAAUUACAAUCUUCCCUCUGCUCCAAACGUUCUUUUCGAACAUUUAUCGAAGCUGUACUCAUUUGCAUUCUCUGAUUAAACAGCUUAAUAGCCUCGAUCAACACAGUUAUUUUUUUCCCUUUUAACCAGGUGGUACACAAGUUUAUUUCUGCUAUAAAAUUACAACACAGAGUAGCAUGAAUACAGUUUGAAAUUGGAUGUCCCUUGAAUCUCAGGUGCUAAAAGAAACUAAGCUGUGGCAGGUACUAUAGUUUUCACAUGGUUGUUACCCGUGUGUUAGCUUUAUUAUAUUCCCUAGUGAGCAAAAAUAUCAUAGCGUUUGCUCCUCUGUGUCUUGCUGUUGUUAGAGACAUGUCUGGACUUGUCUGCUUUGACAAGCUGUGAUAUAUAUUGCUGAGAGUAACAUGAGCCAGUGGUUAGACAGACCCAAGACCUGUUUUAAGACAACUGUUCAUGUGUUGCCAUAAAUUCAGGAAGCACCCCUAAUUUGUACCUUGCUCUGUUCAAGAGAAGCACAUGGAAGAAAUGGUUGGUAUUAUUUUACUUUGAAAAAACAAAACUUUUUCAAGUGAAUUUUUUUGCUGGUCAGCUAUGAGGAAUAUAAUUUCCAAGCAAAAUAUAUAUGGGUCAAAAAUCUCUGGCCUGUUGGGGAACAUAAGCUAAAAGUAGAUCACAAUCCAUUGUCCCCUUACUCAUGAGGGUCGAGCGGUCCAGUGCUUAUAAAAAAUAAUGUUCUUUCAAAGCAACUAACCAUGAAAAAAAUAUUCUUGCUUCUAUACAUGGACUUAACAACAUUAUGAAAUCAGAAUUAAAAAGUAGCUGACAAUUUGAGUGCCUGUAUAGCUAUUAUUCACCCCUAUAAUUGUAUUCUGACAACUGUGGUUAGCGAUGUGAAACACCUCAAAGGAGGUUUCUCUGGAUUUCCCACUGUGUGUGAAUGAUGACGCAACGUCACACAGUGAAAGAACCCCCGCUUUAAACUCCAGACUGGCUGACUGCCGAGAUGUCGGGCUCAGGGAUUGGUUUAUAAACAACAAAGAGUGGUGGAGGUGUGGCACGGAUGAUGCAAAAGAGUGAAAGAAACCCAGAGGACUGGCAGUCUGAAUCAGUAGCCGUCCCUUCCUUUCAGAAAUGGUCAUUGUUUCAUUUCCUUCUUUCAUUCACUCUUCAUCCUUCCCUAACUGAAUGAAAGUAAGUUAUUUAGUCUGCCCUGCUCAGUCUGCAGUUUGUUGGUGUGUAAAACAAAAAUUAUUGAACAGAUUUAUUAAAAAUUAUUGAAAAUUAAAUAGCACAUUAUAAGGGGGGAACCAAACUGCUGAUUGGAUUUGUUUAUUAAUGUAGAUUUUUAGGUUUAAUCAAAGAUCAUUCAUUAACUUUACUAAAAGCACUAUUUAAAUUAUGACUAAUUAAAUUCAUUAACAAUGGUUAACUUCCAAAAUGGGAUGUAAUGGUCUGUCCUGUUAUCACUUUAUGACCAUCCGUCUUGACUGCAACUGUGAGAAGCAGUCUGAGCUCUCCACCCUCCUCCAUCUACCUCUGCAGUUUGCUGCAUCUUUGGUUUGAUAUAUUGGUUUGUGAACCAGAUCUGGGAUAGCACAUAUUUUAGCAUAUAAUUCUUUGAGCACUUAGACUUUGUUUCAUUUAAAACAUGUGUCCAUCAUCUGGGCUGUCAUCAACUCUUCUAUUUGUCAAUAGUACAUUUGGCCGGGAGCGACACGGUGGUGUAGUAGUUAGCACUGUUGCCUCAGAGCAAGAAGGUCCUGGGUUCAAAUCUGGGUCAGGGCAUUUCUGUGUGUUUGCAUGUCCUCCCUGUGUCUGUGUGGGUUUACUCCAGGUACUCUGGUUUCCUCCCACAUCCCAAAAACAUGCAGAAGUGGGGUAAGGUUAAUUGGCCACUUUCAAAUUGCCCAUAGCUGUGAACAUGAGAGUGGCGACCCCUUGGCGACCCUGAAUGGGAAUAAGCGGUAGAAAAUGGAUUGAUGGAUGGACCUUCGGCCGAGUUUAUACUUAUGAAGCACGAUGGAGCGGCAAUGUCUGUUGGUUUGUUUAUCUGGCUAAAAAUGUCAGCUAAAAGUAUUUCCAACAAUGUUGUAAAGAUACUGAUAUUCUCCACGGUAAGUUUGACCAAAUAUUUAUAGUAUUGGACUGAUUGAAAAAAAUAAUAUACAACCCCAAUUCCAUUGAAGUUGAGAGAAUGUGUCAAACUUGAAUAAAAAUAGAAAACAAUGAUUUACAAACCUUUUUCAACCUAUAGUCAAUUAAAUACACUACAAAGACAAGAUAUUUGGAGGUCCAACUCAUAAAUUUGAUUGUUUUUUGCAAAUAUUCAUUUUGUUUCAAUUUAAUUCCUGCAACAUGUUCCAAAAAAGUUGGGACAGGUUUAAUGUGAUGUCAUGAAAGGAGCAUCCCUGAAAGGCUCAGUUGUGCACAAGCAAAGAGGCGAGGUUCACCACUUUGUGAACAACUGCAUGAGAAACUAGUCCAACAGUUUAAGAAUGUUUUUCAACAACCAAUUGCAUGAAUUUAGUGAUUUCAUCAUUUACAGUCCGUAAUAUCAUCAUAAGAUUCAGAGAGACCACAGAAAUCUCUGCUAAAAACUAACACUGAGUGCCCGUGACCUUCAACCCUUCAGGCGACACUGUAUUAAAAAUGGACAUCGUUCUGUGAAGAAUUUUACCACGUAGGCUCAGAAACACUUUAGAAAACUAUCGUCAGUUAACACAGUUCAUCUUUACAGCUAUUAGUGCAAGUCCAAACUCUAAACAUGCAAAGCCAAAACCAGAUAUCAACAACUCUCUGAAACGCUGCCAGCUUCUGUG